AGACAUCUAAGCUGGCUCCUAAAGAGAAGUAAGUAAAAGUUCAUCAGAUGAAGAAUAGAAGGUGUUUUCUAGGUGGAUGGAGGAAGAGAUAUUUACAAAGCCAGGAGGUGUGAGGGAACCUCACAUUCAGGGGAAAUGCAAGAAUAUAUGGAGGACAAGAAGAUGGAAAGAGAGGGCAGUCAGAAAAAUCAGCAAGACAGAGAAAUAACCAAGAGAAAUGAGCAAAGCCCGACUAAGGACUGCUUAGUGUGCCUCUUUAGUCAACAUGAAAAAGAAGAAAAGAACAAGCAACUGAAUGAUCCUCUGAUGGCCUCAAGGCAGUGGAUUGAGAAUAUCUCUUAAGUACAAGGAGGUAUUCUAGGAUGGAACGGAGUGUUUGGCAUCUCCACUUCAUCUUUCGUAAAGGCUGAAUGAACUCUUUGCUGCCACUUAUUGAAGAUAAAAGGAGGCAGAAUUACCCUUAAGUAAAUACUUUGGCCUCAGUAUUUCCUCCACUUUGUACAUUAAUAAAAAUCCCUUUCUUUCACCCUGUCAUUUGACUGUCAUUGUCAAUCUACAUAGAAUGUUUCUUCAUGAGAGGGCUUAUUCAUUCAACAAGAUUUUAUGAACCAUCUGCUACUGACCAGAAACUGUGGUAGUCACUGGAGUGCCAAGUAAGAUAAGUGGCCAUGGAGUGCCAUGGCAUUCUUGUAGCACACAUAUUGUAGUAAAAGUAAUCUUCACAUACUGUUUAAAAUAUAUUUAUUGCAAAUGUAAUGUGAAGGGACACAGGGUAAUCAAUAGAGUAAAAAGGCAAAAAAAUCUUAAAAUGAGAACAGAAAAGUACUGAUUGGUUGGGCAAAAUGAAAGCCAUUGAUGACUUUAGUGAUUUGAAGAGUGAGGUGAAAAUCUGGAGUAACUUCUGAGAAAGUGACGAUGGCAGCAUUGAGUACCCAGCUGAAGGUGGACUGAAGCUGGAUGGCAGUUGAUCAUUUUGCACAAAGUAAAGUGGCCUAGGGAUUGGAGGUCUCGCUGAAGAUGAAGAGCGGCUGGAAUGGCAGUAAGAAAGUGAAUGAGGCCGGGCGCGGUGGCUCACGCCUGUAAUCACAGCACUUUGGGAGGCCGAGGCGGGUGGAUCACGAGGUCAGGAGAUCAAGACCACCUUGGCUAACACAGUGAAACCCCAUCUCUACUAAAAAUACAAAAAAUUAGCCGGGCGUGGUGGCACACGCCUGUUAGCUCAGCUCCUUGGGAGGUUGAGUCAGGAGAAUUGCUUGAACUCGGGAGGUGAAGGUUGCAGUGAGCUGAGAUGGCGCCACUGCACUCCAGCCUGGGCUACAGAGCAAGACUCCAUCUCAAAAAAAAAAAAAAAAUGUGAAUGACUUUGAAGGACUGAUUUGGUCAGAGGAUGCCAUUAUGGAAUUUGGAUUUCAGAGAUGAUAAAAUGCAAGAGAUGUAGGGUUCAGGGUUCUCCAGAGAAACAGAAACAAUAGGAUAUUGAUGUAUCUGUCUAUCUGCCUAUUCAUCUAGAGAGAGAGGCGGGGAGAGAGAUGCUGUGCUAUGGACUAGAUUGUGCCCACUUCCCUUGAUUCAGAUGUUGACGCCCUAACCUUCUAUGUGGUGGUAUUUGUAGUUGGGUCCUUUGGUAGGUAAUUAGGUUUAGAUGAGGUCGUGAAGGUGGAGUCCUCUUGAUGGGAUUAAGAGCUCUUCCAAGACGGAACACCAGAGAGGCUGCUCUCUCUCCUCCUUGUGAUGAGACAGUGAGAAGGUGCCAUGUGCAAACCAGGAAGAGAACCCUCACCAAGAAUUGACCUCUUCCAGAGCUUUGAUAUUGGACUUUCCAGUCUCCAAAUCUAUGUGAAAAUAAAUUUCAAUUAUUUAAGCCACCCAAUCUAUGGUAUUUGUAUUGGCAGCCUGAUGAGACUAACACACACACACACACACACACACACACACACACCUUAAGGACCUGGCUUCUGUGAUUGUGGAGUAUUAGAAGUUUGAAAUCUGUACGGUGGACCAGCAGGCUGGAAACUAAGUUGGGAACUGAUACUGCAGUCUUGAGUUUGAAAUCCACAGGGCAAGGAGGUGGGCUAGAAACUCAGGAGAGAUUUGAUGCAGCAGCUUGGAGGCAGAAUCCUGGGAUGGGCUGUG
rnacentral:lncRNA from 1 species